GAGGGACCCCGAGUGAUGUCCUGCCACGGAGGGACCCCCAGCGAUGCCCUGUCAUCUCCAGAGCGAAGCCACCAGAAAGGAACGAGAGCUGUUAUUGCAAAGUCCUAAUUAGAAACACAGGUGGAUCUUGGGUGAAUAUUUCCCGUAAUCGUACACACAGGUCUUCCUGAGAAGAGAGUGUCACCAUCAGAGCGAAUCUGACAAAUAAGCCAGAGGGCUGGAGGAGGACAAGUCCGCAGAGGGAUUCGGGCAUUCUGGCUGGCGCGUGGCGAGCACUGAACUCGGCUCGCGGACUGAACAGACCUCUCCCGGCCUGCGCUGCAUGGUCAGCAAGGCAUCUCUGCUUUUGGGAGUGUCUUUCCCAAACCAUUUAUUGGAAGACAAACAGCAAAUAAAUGGUCACAGUUCCCACUGGGACCCUCUCUGCACAGGAAUAAGGGAUCCCAGGGGGAUAGCUUCUGUUUGCUGCCCCCGGAGCGUACGCGCAAGUCAAGGAAUUAAAAACCACAUGUGGGCUUUGCCGGCCGGCACCUGCCUUCCCUACUCGUGUGUCCUCGGGCUCCCUAAUGUCGUCAGCAAGGGGUGCCCUGCCCUCUCUCCCUGACACCAAAAUUGUGCAUACGUUGGUCAAAACAGGAGGCCUGUCUCUUAAGCUUCCGUGCCCACAAUCGCAAAUGAUACAAGUGUUCAUUUACUUAUUUAUACGACCCAGAAAUAGCUAACGGAGUUUAAAAGUAAACAGCAUUUAAAUGUGCCCCCCCCGAGUCGACUGGUCGGGGGGGAUUUAUUACACGUUUAACAUGUUCUUCCGUUGUUUAUGUGAGACCACAUUCCAAACAGAAAGAGUGAGUACGUUUUUACACACGGACGAGUGGAGCUUGCGGGCUUCCUACUGGGAAGAGGGCCACACGCAGGAAAGGCACUGGUGGGGGCGGGGCUGCUAGCAAUGGUGGCCGGUUCCGGUCGUGGGCAUGACAGUCGUGGGCCCCGACCCCCAGGGUCUUGCUACAAGUUUUCAGACUCUGGAAGGGGCCUGAUUCCUGCAUUUUCACGGCUCAGAUGGCCCCUGGAGCACAGGUGGACACUCUCGAAGGACUCUCACCUACACCAGCCCAUCACCGGGAGCAAUUUUGGUCCCUGCCCAUUCGGAGGCCCUGCCUUUCCACAAAACCUUCUCUCCCUUGUUGCUGGUUGUGACGAGAGCCUUCGUAUGAGCCUUAAGACCCGGGUUCAAAAAUUAGCUCCGGGGCGCCCAGGGGGCUCAGUCGGUUAAGAGUCCGACCUCAGCUCAGGUCACAGUCUCACGGUUCAGGAGUCUGAGCCCCGGGUCGGGCUCUGUGCUGAUGGCUCUGACGGAUUCUGUGUCUCCCUCGCUCACUCUGCCCCUCCCUGCUCGUUCUCUCUCUCUCUCUCUC